AUUGAACGCUGGCGGCAGGCCUAACACAUGCAAGUCGAGCGGAUGAAGGGAGCUUGCUCCUGGAUUCAGCGGCGGACGCGUGAGUAAUGCCUAGGAAUCUCCCUGGUAGUGGGGGAUAACGUCCGGAAACGGGCGCUACUACCGCCUCCGUCCUGUGGGUGUAGGUUGGGAAUCUUCUGACCUCUCGCUUUGCGUUGAUCCUAGGUCGGCUUACUUAGUUGGUGGGGGAAAGGCCUACCACGGCGACCCUCCGCAACUGGUCUGAGAGGACGAUCAGUAAAACGGGAACGGAAACACGGUCAAGACUCCUACGGGAGGAAGAAGUGGGGAAUAUUGGAAAAUGGGGGAAAGCCUGAUCCAGACAUGCCGCGUGUGUGAAGAAGGUCUUCGGAUUGUAAAGCACUUUAAGUUGGGAGGAAGGGCAGUAAGUUAAUAACUUGAUGUUUUGACGGUACCAAAAGAAUAAGCACCGGCUAACUACGUG
rnacentral:rRNA from 1 species